rnacentral:sRNA from 1 species
CCAGCACCGACCCGAAUCACCAUACUCUUUGGGGACUUUUGCAUUGACGCGGAGCCACUUUUAGGAGUGGCAUUGCUCGCAUUUGCAGCACGGAGGUGAGUCCGCUUCUUUGUGCGCCUUUUCGCCAUGAUCAAAGCUCGAUUCUUUUUUUUUUUUUUUUUUAAUUGAGAAUCUCAACUUUUUUUUUGGGAGAUUUGAGGUGCCCGGAACAAUGAUUUUGCGGGUUAUCAAAAAUAUUUUGGUGGAAAAUCACCAUCACCAUCACCAUCACCGACCCAGACACUCUUACUUAUCUGCGGAUUAAUAUCCAUCAUACAAAAUGCCGGCCUUGAAGAAGCGGAAACUUGCCCACACAGCUCAGCCAGACCCCAUUGCGAGCGACCUAGAAUCCUCCAGUUCAGAAGCCUCACAGCAAUCGCACGAUGAGCAACUCACCGCAGUUAAUGAACAAGAUGACGAGAGCCCGCAGGUGCAGCGAGAAGAGGCUGUGACGAAGUCUUUCAAAGAUCUAGGAAUUAUUGAUUCACUAUGUGAAGCAUGUGAAGCUUUAGGCUACAAAUCGCCCACUCCGAUUCAAGCAGAAUCAAUCCCGCUCGCACUUCAAGGGCGGGAUCUCAUUGGGCUGGCAGAGACAGGAAGUGGAAAGACGGCCGCAUUUGCUUUGCCUAUUCUCCAAGCUCUGAUGAACAAACCCCAAUCCCUUUUUGGCCUCAUACUAGCUCCCACCCGAGAACUAGCCUGCCAAAUAUCAGAAGCAUUCGAGGCGCUCGGCUCCCUUAUCUCAGUCCGAUGUGCCGUCAUCGUUGGUGGAAUGGACAUGGUUUCCCAAGCAAUUUCACUGGGGAAGAAACCUCACAUCAUCGUCGCAACACCAGGCCGUCUUCUAGACCACCUUGAAAACACAAAGGGCUUCUCCCUCCGCAACCUCAAAUACCUCGUGAUGGACGAAGCCGACCGCCUCCUCGAUCUUGACUUUGGACCCAUCCUUGACAAAAUCCUCAAAGUUCUUCCCCGUGAACGCCGCACAUACCUAUUCUCCGCAACCAUGAGCUCAAAAGUUGAAUCUCUCCAGCGCGCAUCCCUCUCCAACCCGCUCCGCGUUUCCAUCUCCAGCAACAAAUAUCAAACCGUCGCCACCCUGCUCCAAAGCUACCUCUUCAUUCCCCACAAAUACAAAGAUGUCUAUCUUGUCUACCUCCUCAACGAAUACGCAGGCCAAUCCGCCAUCGUCUUUACCCGGACAGUAAACGAGACUCAACGCCUAGCCAUCUUGCUUCGCGCUCUCGGCUUCGGCUCCAUCCCGCUCCACGGCCAGCUCUCGCAGUCCUCCCGCCUAGGCGCACUCAGUAAAUUCCGCUCACGCAGCCGCGACAUCCUCGUAGCGACAGACGUCGCCGCACGCGGUCUCGACAUCCCCUCUGUUGACGUGGUGCUCAACUUCGAUCUACCCUCAGACAGCAAGACGUAUAUCCAUCGCGUAGGCAGGACCGCGCGAGCAGGUAAGAGUGGACAUGCCUUUAGCAUUGUAACUCAGUACGACAUUGAGGUCUGGCUGCGGAUCGAAAAUGCGCUGGGUAAGAAGUUGGACGAGUAUAAAGUUGAGAAAGAGGAGGUGAUGGUGCUAAGUGAUAGGGUGGGCGAGGCGCAGCGGCAUGCGAUUACCGAGAUGAAGGAUUUACAUG